rnacentral:rRNA from 1 species
UACGUAGGGUGCGAGCGUUAAUCGGACUUACUGGGAGUAAAGCGUGCGCAGGCGGCUCUUCAAGUCAGAUGUGAAAGCCCCGGGCUUAACCUGGGAAUGGCGUUUGAAACUGGAGGGCUGGAGUGUGGCAGAGGGAGGUGGAAUUCCACGUGUAGCAGUGAAAUGCGUAGAGAUGUGGAGGAACACCGAUGGCGAAGGCAGCCUCCUGGGCCAACACUGACGCUCAUGCACGAAAGCGUGGGGAGCAAACAGG